rnacentral:rRNA from 1 species
AGUAGAAGGAGUUCUGGAAACCUAAGAUUUUUGGCGGUUUUUCAGUCUUGUCAGAGGAACCUGCUGUUUAAUGGAUAAUCCUCCGUUGAUUUUACUUUUUUUUUAAAUACCGCCGUCGACGACAGGUCAAGGUUUAGUUUAUGAGAGAGGUUGAAAAUGGAUUUGAAUGUUAUAGAGGGAAAUUGGGCUCUGGGAAAUGU